rnacentral:misc_RNA from 1 species
GAUGAAGAACGCAGCGAAAUGCGAUAAGUAAUGUGAAUUGCAGAAUUCAGUGAAUCAUCGAAUCUUUGAACGCACAUUGCGCCCCCUGGUAUUCCGGGGGGCAUGCCUGUCCGAGCGUCAUUUCACCACUCAAGCCUCGCUUGGUAUUGGGCAACGCGGUCCGCCGCGUGCCUCAAAUCGACCGGCUGGGUCUUCUGUCCCCUAAGCGUUGUGGAAACUAUUCGCUAAAGGGUGUUCGGGAGGCUACGCCGUAAAACAACCCCAUUUCUAAGGUUGACCUCGGAUCAGGUAGGGAUACCCGCUGAACUUAAGCAUAUCAAUAAGCGGAGGA